AACGAACGCUGGCGGCAGGCUUAACACAUGCAAGUCGAGCGAGACCUUCGGGUCUAGCGGCGGACGGGUGAGUAACGCGUGGGAACGUGCCCUUCUCUACGGAAUAGCCCCGGGAAACUGGGAGUAAUACCGUAUACGCCCUUUGGGGGAAAGAUUUAUCGGAGAAGGAUCGGCCCGCGUUGGAUUAGGUAGUUGGUGGGGUAAUGGCCCACCAAGCCGACGAUCCAUAGCUGGUUUGAGAGGAUGAUCAGCCACACUGGGACUGAGACACGGCCCAGACUCCUACGGGAGGCAGCAGUGGGGAAUCUUAGACAAUGGGGGCAACCCUGAUCUAGCCAUGCCGCGUGAGUGAUGAAGGCCUUAGGGUUGUAAAGCUCUUUCAGCUGGGAAGAUAAUGACGGUACCAGCAGAAGAAGCCCCGGCUAACUCCAUG
rnacentral:rRNA from 1 species